rnacentral:miRNA from 1 species
AGCUCUUCAAACGGUAGCUCUG